rnacentral:pre_miRNA from 1 species
UGCUGCAUCAGGUGCUUGUGACUGUGCAUUAUAAAGUCAGGUACCUAAAGUAGCGCGC